AGUGAACGCUGGCGGUAGGCCUAACACAUGCAAGUCGAACGGCAGCACAGUAAGAGCUUGCUCUUACGGGUGGCGAGUGGCGGACGGGUGAGGAAUACAUCGGAAUCUACUUUUUCGUGGGGGAUAACGUAGGGAAACUUACGCUAAUACCGCAUACGACCUACGGGUGAAAGCAGGGGAUCUUCGGACCUUGCGCGAUUGAAUGAGCCGAUGUCGGAUUAGCUAGUUGGCGGGGUAAAGGCCCACCAAGGCGACGAUCCGUAGCUGGUCUGAGAGGAUGAUCAGCCAAACUGGAACUGAGAAACGGUCCAGACACCUACGGGAGGCAGCAGUGGGGAAUAUUGGACAAUGGGCGAAAGCCUGAUCCAGCCAUACCGCGUGGGUGAAGAAGGCCUUCGGGUUGUAAAGCCCUUUUGUUGGGAAAGAAAAGCAGCAGGUUAAUACCCCGCUGUUCUGACGGUACCCAAAGAAUAAGCACCGGCUAACUUCGU
rnacentral:rRNA from 1 species